GUGUCCCGAGCAUAUGCUGCAUCGCCCCCGCCGCUUGGCCUUGCUCAGCACCGGCGCAGCCCACCCCGCCGCCUGACCUCGCCUCGCACCGGAGGCGACCACCACCGUCCUCGCCGCUCCCUCCCCUCCCCUCCCCCAGCCCAAUCUAGAUGUCUAACCUGUCCCCUCCCAUCUCUGAGCAUAGCAUGCUCCGUCGGCGGCGGCGGCAGCGGCGGCUCCUUCUGGCCGGAUUGAGGCGCGGAGACCCAUGCUCCUCUCAUCUGGUUGGAUCGCCUCCUCCGGUAGGAUCUCCUCUCCGAGCUGGAUGUUGAGCACGAGAUCCCUGCUCUAUGGAUCGCCUCCCCUCAUACGGUCACCCCGACGCGGCGACCCUGCAUCCUGAGACCACCAACGCCGCCUCCUUUGACCACGGGAAGGCACCUAGAUGCACGUCAUGGAUGAGAUAUUUUAUAUGUCCACAAGGCAUUUGAUGACAAUCCAAACAGGCACUGUAUGUUAUCCCUAACCAAUUGCAGAGGUUGCAGUACAAACAUGUAGGAUACAGAUGCAUUCUAUAGUGUUCUUCAUGAUGGCUGUACUGACGGACAUGAUUGCCCUUGUCUAAAUACUAAGAUCCAACUUUACAUGCAGUCGUACCCAUGCCAAUUUGUUGGAGCAGAGAUCAUCUGACUUAACUGAGUCUAAGUCAGAGGGAUGUCCAUCCAUGCCGCAUCGGACGACAAUGAAAUCUAGAGAGGCUCUAUGGCUCAGGUCGCCACGAAACCAGCGGCCCAUCCGGCACCUUGUGACACAAGUGAAGGAAACAACAUGCAAGGUGUACAGAAACAGCGUGGGAUCGACCAGAACGAUACCGCCUGGGCCGGAUGAAGAAGCAACUGAGAUGGAAUUAUGGAAGAAGAGGCUAACACCACACACAUCCAGAUUUCAUCGCUAGGCGCUUGGUACUACAACUUCUACAUCUCGACGACUUUGGACAAUAAAGCGAUGAUGCUCUACCUGGGCGUGGUCUAACUCUACCUCGGCCAGGUGUGGUGCCACGAGGAAGCACCCAAGCUGAAAGUUAUGACGAUCAGAUCAAAUACCAAAAGUUGUAACUCGGAUAUACCAUGAUAUUUUGAAUGGUGUGCUACCUUAAUAGCUUUCAGUGGUAUGUUGUCUGUUCAAUUCCGAAAAUAAGAUUUGUGGUAGGUUGACCUGUUGACAGCUUUCAAUGCUACUGUAUGUUGUUUGUUCAACUCCGGUCACCGAAGCUGAAUUUCCAUACAAAACCAAGAUUUGUUCUAGGUAAUUAUUUAGGCACCAAGCAACAAGUGCAUGGAUUUAAAAUAUGCACACAACGACAAACAUUUGUGUGGAUUUUCUGUAGGUGUCUCUGUUGACCUGCAUGUUUGCCUGAUAAGUGAAACAUAAGUGAUUCCAGUUCUACA